rnacentral:lncRNA from 1 species
CUAAAUUAGGGUUGAUAGUUAAAUCCUAGGUCACCUUGAGCAUUAGGGUCAAAGGGAUGAAUUAUACGAUAACCAUACGCCAAUAGGUUCUAGAAUGUUGCUUUGUAAUACUUUGACCUAUCUAGCCAUCGAGUCAUCAUUGCUAGAUAGUUACAUCGAUUGGUAUAGAAAGUUAUUUCUAUACUACUGACUUAGGUUCGAACUUAUAAGGUCACAUAUAUUAGAAGAGUUAGUCAGAUCUGAUGGCUGAAGAAUUCAAUUGGAUUGUGACUCUGGUGAGGAGUCUUACUGAGACUGGGACUCUGGAAGAGAGUCCCAUUAGGAUUGAGACUCUACUAUGAAUAAAAAAUUAAUUAGUAUUUGACUCAAUUUGAUU